rnacentral:lncRNA from 1 species
CUUGUUGUUUUUGACUCGGAAGUUGGAAUAAUACGAUUUAGGGAUUUAGGACAGAACGAUUUACGAACGAAUGGAUAAUUAUCCUAAACGGAUCGGUCGGGUUAUCGGUUCGACGGAACAUAGAAGAUUGGAUCUCAUCUCGCCUAAAAUGGCUUUGCCUUGGCACUCUGGUAACUUGGUAAGUCUGUGAUUUAUUUUUUGAGUUUGAAAAAUGUAAUGUAAAUGAGGUAACAACAAUCAAGAUGGUGUUUGAAUGAAUUAUUUACACAACAUUUUCAUUGCAGGUAAGCUAUGAUGACAAAAAUAAUCUCUUCAAAUGCAGAUUUCCGGAUUAAUGACGUUUCAUCUCCUUGAAGAUGUUAGUGACAUUGGGUGAUACUUUGGGUAGAAAUUUGAACAACUGUUCCGACACACAAAGAGAGUUAGAGUCAUGUAUAUGAGUUGUCGAUUAAUUGGAUCCGACGAUCGAGUAAGGGAACG